rnacentral:rRNA from 1 species
GAUGAACGCUGACAGAAUGCUUAACACAUGCAAGUCAACCGGUGGCGGACGUGUGAGUAACGCGUAAAGAACUUGCAUCAGAGUUAGGGACAACAUUUGGAAACGAAUGCUAAUACCUGAUACUGUGAGAGAGCUUUGCGUCCCAUUAGCUAGUUGGAGAGGUAACGGCUGACCAAGGCGAGGAUGGGGAGCCGGCCUGAGAGGGUGAUCGGCCACAAGGGGACUGGGACACGGCCCGUAGGCCUACGGGAGGCAGCAGUGGAGAAUAGUGACCAAUGGACCAAAGUCUGAUCCAGCAAUUCUGUGUGUACUGUGAAUUUUUCGGAAUGUAAAGUGUUUUCAGUUGGGAAGCGGUACCAACAGAAGAAGUGACGGCUAAAUACGUGCCAGCAGCCGCGGUAAUUC